GUAGAGGGCUAUAGCUGGGGGAGCAGGGCAGGUCGUCUUAAAGGAGGGGAUACAGCAGAAACACUGACUCCACAUAAGGGAGCCAUUCAGGCUUUGGAUAGAGUCAGCACCAAGAUGAAAGUGCAAGGGUUAACAGGCCGGGGGCCUGGGUUAGAAACAAGGCCAAAUUAUAUGCUGUAGGGAAAUACUAGCUAAUGGCAGCUCUGUAUGUCUGGGUAGUCUCAAGAUGUUCAAAGGACAAUAACUACUAUUGAUUUGCUGGGCCCAGGACCAUAAGGGAGUAAUGGGGGAGAGCAGAAGAGUGUAUGGUAAAACCUGCUCUUCAAGAUUAACAACGGGCUUAAAAGAAAAGACAGAGUUUCACCGGUAAUGAAUGAUACUUUUGUGUUGUGUGAUGGCUUUCUCCUGUAACCAGGGAUGAAUAUCUUCUCUCCGUUCUCUCCUCUUCCACUCUAGAAAACUGUUGAGCUCUGUGGGUAUUUAGGUUGAGCUGGAAAGAUGCAAAUCAAUAUGCUUAGAGUGGAUGUUUCAGUUCAGACCAAGAAUUGCUUUGUAUUUGUGUAUGUAGGUGUGAUACAUCACUAGAGACCCCGAGAUCAGGCUCAGCAGGAUCCUACAUCCACACUGGAUUUGCUUUACCCAACAGCUAUUUCUCCUUGCAUCUCAGAGGCCCGCGGAUAUUACGUCAUGGUUCAUGGAGGUGAAAGAACUAUUCCUCAGACUCAGUGAAUUGGACUGUGGGUCUGGGCCCCACAGUUGGGAUUUUCCUAAGUGCCUCAAGGACAUCAGGAGUCCAGGUCAGCAGCAUUCCAGCUGCUAGCCAGAGCUCUCCAAAAGGGGCAGCAGUCUCUCCUUCUGCUGGUACUGACCACCAGAGAAUCAGUAUCUGGCCUCUCUAGACAGUCCAGCCAUUCCAUGCCUCUGGCCAAAGAUGGAAUUUACCAGAGCUGGAAUUAAACACAGCAUCUAGUGCUUCUGCCUGAAGUGUUGGGUUUUGAUUGCACUUGGCUUUGUUCCUUCUAUGUCUUUUUCCCAGUAAAGCUUCAGAUCACACUGGAUCUUUAGCAAAAGGUAUAUGCAAGCAGCUCUGCUGUUCUUACACACAUGGCUGUUGCCAUGUUCUUUGCAUCACUGCCAGUUCUUGUGAAUGCCUAACUGAAAAGUGAUGUGCUCAAAAAAAUGAGUUUUCUUAUAUGUUUAAAAAGCUUCCUCGUUCUUUUCCUUCAAAUUGUCGCAGCAGAACACUGCUGAUCAUGUAGACUGGUCUUCCAGGUUUGCCAAAAUGCUUGCUGCAAGCUUUCUGCCCACACCUGCCCUCUAUUUGUUUCAAUGUGCUUUACCUUUUCCCAAUUCGAUGAUCUAAAAUCCACAUCUGCUAAUUGUAUAUACUCUCCUAAACUUCUUUUAGUCUGGUAGCUCAUACCUCUCAUCCUUGAACAUCAAAAUGAUUGCGCUGUGCUGUAUUUCCCAGUGAGAAUGGAUGAUAUUCAGUAUGUAACUUUUGAGACCCCAGAUUUCUGAGCAAACUCCUUGCAAACUCUGAGUGAAUUUACUUAGCUCAGCUAAGACCUUGCAAACCUGCACUGUGCACUUUCCUACCCUGCAUUUGUCUAUACUACCUGAACAACAGUAAUAGCUGUAUGUGGCAGAAGAGUGUGGUGAGAGUGGUUUAUGCUUGUACUCACAGGGAAGAAGCUGUGGUGUUAGGUAGCAGCCAGUGCCGCCUUGGACUUUAGAGUCUAAAGCUUCUUCACCAUGUUGGUGGGGUUUACGUAGCAGUGGGGUUUGUCCCGUAUGUAGGCAAUUAGAUCUCGG
rnacentral:lncRNA from 1 species